CGUGUAGGCGGUGCGGUAAGUUGGGCGUGAAAUCCCCGAGCUUAACUCGGGUGGGCCGUUCAAGACUGCCGUGCUAGGGUGCGGGAGAGGGAAGUGGAAUUUCCGGUGUAGCGGUGAAAUGCGUAGAUAUCGGGAGGAACACCUGCGGCGAAGGCGGCUUCCUGGACCGUAACCGACGCUGAGGCGCGAAAGCUAGGGGAGCAAACAGGAUUAGAUACCCUAGUAGUCCUAGCCCUAAACGAUGAGCACUGGGUGUGGCCCCUCACGAGGCCGUGCCGAAGCUAACGCAUUAAGUGCUCCGCCUGGGGAGUACGGUCGCAAGGCUGAA
rnacentral:rRNA from 1 species